rnacentral:rRNA from 1 species
CCUACGUGAGGCAGCAGUAGGGAAUCUUCCACAAUGGGCGAAAGCCUGAUGGAGCAACGCCGCGUGGGUGAAGAAGGUCUUCGGAUCGUAAAACCCUGUUGUUAGAGAAGAAAGUGCGUGAGAGUAACUGUUCACGUUUCGACGGUAUCUAACCAGAAAGCCACGGCUAACUACGUGCCAGCAGCCGCGGUAAUACGUAGGUUGCAAGCGUUAUCCGGAUUUAUUGGGCGUAAAGGGAACGCAGGCGGUCUUUUAAGUCUGAUGUGAAAGCCUUCGGCUUAACCGGAGUAGUGCAUUGGAAACUGGGAGACUUGAGUGCAGAAGAGGAGAGUGGAACUCCAUGUGUAGCGGUGAAAUGCGUAGAUAUAUGGAAGAACACCAGUGGCGAAAGCGGCUCUCUGGUCUGUAACUGACGCUGAGGUUCGAAAGCGUGGGUAGCAAACAGGAUUAGAUACCCCAGUAGUC